GACGAACGCUGGCGGCGUGCUUAACACAUGCAAGUCGUACGAGAAAAGGUAGCAAUACCUUGAGUAAAGUGGCGCACGGGUGCGUAACACGUAAGUAACCUGCCUUUAGGUCUGGAAUAAUCCCGCGAAAGCGGGACUAAUACCGGAUGAUGCAGCGGAUCCACAUGGAUAUGUUGUUAAAAUCUAUAUGGUGCCUAAAGAUGGGCUUGCGUCCGAUUAGCUAGNGGUAGGUAACGGCUACCAAGGCUGCAAUCGGUAGCUGGUCUGAGAGGAUGAUCAGCCA
rnacentral:rRNA from 1 species